CUGAGGAAUUUGUUCAUCAGUACUGUUCUUUCAAAUCAGUGCAGUUGAAGAAAAGGAGACAGGGAGUAUUCUAAGGAGGAAAUAAGUUAAGAGUUGAGAUGCACCCACCCACAGCAGGUAGAACAGCUGUAAGACCACGCUACGCUGCACCCACCCACAGCAGGUAGAACAGCUGUAAGACCACGCUACGCUGCACCCACCCACAGCAGGUAGAACAGCUGUAAGACCACGCUACGCUGCACCCACCCACAGCAGGUAGAACAGCUGUAAGACCACGCUACGCUGCACCCACCCACAGCAGGUAGAACAGCUGUAAGACCACGCUACGCUGCACCCACCCACAGCAGGUAGAACAGCUGUAAGACCACGCUACGCUGCACCCACCCACAGCAGGUAGAACAGCUGUAAGACCACGCUACGCUGCACCCACCCACAGCAGGUAGAACAGCUGUAAGACCACGCUACGCUGCACCCACCCACAGCAGGUAGAACAGCUGUAAGACCACGCUACGCUGCACCCACCCACAGCAGGUAGAACAGCUGUAAGACCACGCUACGCUGCACCCACCCACAGCAGGUAGAACAGCUGUAAGACCACGCUACGCUGCACCCACCCACAGCAGGUAGAACAGCUGUAAGACCACGCUACGCUGCACCCACCCACAGCAGGUAGAACAGCUGUAAGACCACGC